rnacentral:rRNA from 1 species
UAGGGAAUCUUCGGCAAUGGACGGAAGUCUGACCGAGCAACGCCGCGUGAGUGAAGAAGGUUUUCGGAUCGUAAAGCUCUGUUGUAAGAGAAGAACGAGUGUGAGAGUGGAAAGUUCACACUGUGACGGUAUCUUACCAGAAAGGGACGGCUAACUACGUGCCAGCAGCCGCGGUAAUACGUAGGUCCCGAGCGUUGUCCGGAUUUAUUGGGCGUAAAGCGAGCGCAGGCGGUUAGAUAAGUCUGAAGUUAAAGGCUGUGGCUUAACCAUAGUAGGCUUUGGAAACUGUUUAACUUGAGUGCAAGAGGGGAGAGUGGAAUUCCAUGUGUAGCGGUGAAAUGCGUAGAUAUAUGGAGGAACACCGGUGGCGAAAGCGGCUCUCUGGCUUGUAACUGACGCUGAGGCUCGAAAGCGUGGGGAGCAAACAGGAUUAGAUACCCUGGUAGUCCACGCUGUAAACGAUGAGUGCUAGGUGUUAGACCCUUUCCGGGGUUUAGUGCCGUAGCUAACGCAUUAAGCACUCUGCCUGGGGAGUACGACCGCAAGGUUG